GAGUGUGAAUCAAAAUGUGAUUAAGGUAAAUAUUAGUUUGGUUUAGGAACUUUCCUUUUUUGUUUGUCUGACUAAAAAUAUUUGUUUGUGUAUUGUUGUUGUUGUUGUUUGUGUUGUUAAAAUUAGGCACUGUGUUGUUGUUGUUUGUGUUGUUAAAAUUAGGCACUGUGUUGUUGUUGUUUUAUGAUGUAGAAAUUGAAAUUGGUGGG
rnacentral:lncRNA from 1 species